UAUGAAAGGCAAAAUGAGAGCCCAACUGUCUCUUAUAACAAAUCAAUAAAACUGAUCUCCUAGUACAAAAGCUAGGAUACUAACAUAAGACCAGAAGACCCUGUGAAGCUUUAACAAACCCAUUAAAUCAAAUAAUGAUUACUUUCGGUUGGGGCGACCUUGGAAUAAAAAAGAACUUCCAACAUAUGACCUACUCAUAAAACAGGCAAACAAGCCAAUACUAGACCCAGCACAGCUGAUAAUUGAAAUAAGUUACUCCAGGGAUAACAGCGCUAUCUUCUUUAAGAGCCCAUAUCAAAAAGAAGGUUUACGACCUCGAUGUUGGAUCAGGACAUCCCAGUAAUGCAUCCGUUACUAAAGGUUCGUUUGUUCAACGAUUAACAGUCCUACGUGAUCUGAGUUCAGACCGGA
rnacentral:rRNA from 1 species